GGCAAGUGUACCAAAUUGUACAAGUAAUAUAAAUGGUAAGACCAAGUAUCGUUUCCCCAGGAGACUCGUAUGGCUUCCUCGUUUGUGUGAAAUAAAAUAAUAAGACUUGAGAAAUAAAAAUUAAUAAAUUGGAUUUGUGGAUAAAAAUAUUAACAUGCAAAAUAAAGUUGAUUCAAUUGACAAACGAAAACAAUGGAUGAAUGGAUGUUGUUAGGUACUAACAAUUUCAUCUAUUCCACUCUCUCUUACAUACUACCCUUGAAUAUUAGUUGAUUGAUUCAAUCGUUAUGCGACUUUCUUAGCCUCCCCUUAACCCGAUCCCUCGGCGAAAAUGGCCUAAUAUUAACUACUGGCUUGCUAUUCCUAGCCUCCCCUAAUAAUUAAUACCGCAUUAUAAACAAAAGUUAGCGCAAUUGAUCGUCCUAUCCCUAUCCCUAGGUGAUAUUGCAAAAUCAAGAGAUUACUCACCAGUUCAUGUCAUUACUGUACGUCCACAUAUCAAUAAAGACAAACAUCAAUACACCGAAUUAGUUAAAUGAUGAAAGCUUUAAGCACAUAUGAUAAUCCAACAAUUAACAAUCAAAACAUAUGGAGACCAUAUAAAUAAUCAAGAGAUUCAAUAAGAGAGAGUAUCAAAAGAUUACAUUUGAUACAAGAAGGCCUAGCACCAUAGGACCUAUCACAAGAGGGAUGGCCAAAUACUCUUUGCUAUUUUUGGAUGGAAGAUUGGAGACCAAGGAGAUGCUACAAAUGUGCCAAAACAUGGAGAAGGGUAAAGUGGACUUUUGGCUACAUAAAGAGGGGUGUGCAUAGCAUAGGAGGGGUGGCAUUAGUGAUUGUAUUUGCUGCAUAUGCGCAUAGUUUUUCACAUGUAUUUCAUAAGGCUUUCUAGAAGCCAUACACACUUUGCACAUGUGUAAUGAGCUGACCUAAGAUCCGUAAAUUGUGGAUCUAGGCAUUUCCCAUGCAUGGCCUUGAGAUUGAUCUAUAAAGUCUCAUUGGCAAAGCUUGUAACUCACUUUUGGAAAUCAAGUAAAGAAAUUCUGCUCAAAUGAAAGCACAAUUCCUUCUUCCGAGAGUCAUCCUUGCUUGUAUCUCCAUUGCAACUUUCUUCCACCUUGUGGAAGCCUUCUGAAGUUGUGAACCAUCCACCCAAGCUAGCCUCCAUCUCACCUCUCCACAAACACCAAUAAUCCGCUGCCAUACACCAUAGAAUCCUCCCAAAUCCGAGAGCAAUUUCAACUCUGCAACAGCUUGGAUAGCGUCACUGUUCCAUUGGUUUGUUGUUGGUUCUUGGCUCCAAAUCACUUCCAAUCUCACGGUGCAUCUUCCUUCAUCUCCCUUGAUGUAUCAAGUGGUAUUCAGAGCUUAGGUUCUAGCUUGAACCGUGAGAUAAGUAGCUCUUUCUUCCAUUUCCAUGCUGUCAACAAAAUUCUGCAAU
rnacentral:lncRNA from 1 species